UGAGUGUUAUGAUGAUGGAGCAGUUUAUUUUGCUCUUAGUCUAGCUCUGGUCUACCGCCAGAAGUUUCUUCUGGCGG
rfam:Streptococcus sp. DD11 genomic scaffold scaffold00007, whole genome shotgun sequence.